rnacentral:rRNA from 1 species
UACGGAGGGGGCUAGCGUUGUUCGGAAUUACUGGGCGUAAAGCGUGCGCAGGCGGCUUGGCAAGUCGGGUGUGAAAUCCCGGGGCUCAACCCCGUGACUGCAUCCGAUACUGUCAGGCUAGAGGUAGGUAGGGGAGAUCGGAAUUCCUGGUGUAGCGGUGAAAUGCGCAGAUAUCAGGAGGAACACCGGUGGCGAAGGCGGAUCUCUGGGCCUUACCUGACGCUCGAGGCGCGAAAGCUAGGGGAGCGAACAGG